AGAGUUUGAUCAUGGCUCAGAUUGAACGCUGGCGGCAGGCCUAACACAUGCAAGUCGAGCGGUAGCACAGGGAGCUUGCUCCUGGGUGACGAGCGGCGGACGGGUGAGUAAUGUCUGGGAAACUGCCUGAUGGAGGGGGAUAACUACUGGAAACGGUAGCUAAUACCGCAUAACGUCGCAAGACCAAAGAGGGGGACCUUCGGGCCUCUUGCCAUCAGAUGUGCCCAGAUGGGAUUAGCUAGUAGGUGGGGUAAUGGCUCACCUAGGCGACGAUCCCUAGCUGGUCUGAGAGGAUGACCAGCCACACUGGAACUGAGACACGGUCCAGACUCCUACGGGAGGCAGCAGUGGGGAAUAUUGCACAAUGGGCGCAAGCCUGAUGCAGCCAUGCCGCGUGUAUGAAGAAGGCCUUCGGGUUGUAAAGUACUUUCAGCGAGGAGGAAGGUGUUGAGGUUAAUAACCUCAGCAAUUGACGUUACUCGCAGAAGAAGCACCGGCUAACUCCGUGCCAGCAGCCGCGGUAAUACGGAGGGUGCAAGCGUUAAUCGGAAUUACUGGGCGUAAAGCGCACGCAGGCGGUCUGUCAAGUCGGAUGUGAAAUCCCCGGGCUCAACCUGGGAACUGCAUUCGAAACUGGCAGGCUAGAGUCUUGUAGAGGGGGGUAGAAAUCCAGGUUAGCGGUGAAAUGCGUAGAGAUCUGGAGGAAUACUCGGUGGCGAAGCGGCCCCUGGACAAAGACUGACGCUCAGUGCGAAAGCGUGGGGAGCAAACAGAUUAGAUACCUGGUAGUCCACGCGUAACGAUGUCGACUUGGAGGUUGUCCCUUGAG
rnacentral:rRNA from 1 species